AUGUCCCCAGGCCUGGGCGCUGUCACCUGGUCCCCACUGGCCCCCGGGCCCCCCCUGGAUGAGGAGACCCCCGGAAACGCCCCGGCCAAGGGCCGGCCCCGCUGCCCGGUGGCUCCGGGGGAGCUGCAGCCGCUGGCCCAGAAGUUGGGGUGCUCCGAGAGACAGCUGGGCAUCGCCUGGUCCCUGCGGCUCGAGGGCGUUCAGGGGUGACACAGAGGUGACAUUGAUG